CUUAUUACUCCGCCUGCGCAGUGCGGAGUCUAAAAAUGCCUGAGUCUGUUGUCGGUUGUCGUCAGUGUCACAAAUAGGCUCCUUGAUAAAUGUGUACAUUUCAUGAUAUUUAGAUACUUUCUAUUGACAUUUGUGGAUAAUGUUAUACGAUUUGGCAGCGCAAUGCGCAUGCUUACAGCUCUGCUUACAGUAUUUUUCUAAACUGCGAACUGCGAAGUGCGAAACGGUCUUGUGCGAUGUAUAUGAAAAAUACUAAACGAUGAAAAAUACUAAAAAGAUGAAUGUCAAGACAAAGCUUCCAGACUCAACUGAGGUAAGGGAUACUAAACAUUCUAAUUUUGGUAGUACAUGCUGCAUUUUGGCAACAAGAAAUUCUUUAAAGUUAUAAAUAUAAAUAAAAAUAUUCACUCCUACUGUAUGUCGUAAUGUCGAUCUUAUAUUCUUGACUAGCAAAAUAUAUUCUUGUGUGAAAGGUCCCUACAAUGUUCUGACCAGUUUAGGCUAUGUAGUGUUGAAGCUAUCGGGUUAUUAAAUAUAUUUCAAUGUUUUGAAAAGUUUAGGAAAUGUAGCAUUGGGCUAUUCCAAUUAUUAUCCGCACCACCCUGUUGAGGAACCUUGGAAUUUCCAGGGGAGGGGG